rnacentral:rRNA from 1 species
GAUGAACGCUGGCGGCGUGCCUAAUACAUGCAAGUCGAGCGAACGGACGAGAAGCUUGCUUCUCUGAUGUUAGCGGCGGACGGGUGAGUAACACGUGUAUAACCUACCUAUAAGACUGGGAUAACUUCGGGAAACCGGAGCUAAUACCGGAUAAUAUUUUGAACCGCAUGGUUCAAAAGUUAAAGACGGUCUUGCUUUCACUUAUAGAUUGAUCCGCGCUGCAUUAGCUAGUUGGUAAGGUAACGGCUUACCAAGGCAACGAUGCAUAGCCGACCUGAGAGGGUGAUCGGACACACUGGAACUGAGACACGGUCCAGACUCCUACGGGAGGAAGCAGUAGGGAAUCUUCCGCAAUGGGCGAAAGCCUGACGGAGCAACGCCGCGUGAGUGAUGAAGGUCUUCGGAUCGUAAAACUCUGUUAUUAGGGAAGAACAUAUGUGUAAGUAACUGUGCACAUCUUGACGGUACCUAAUCAGAAAGCCACGGCUAACUACGUG